UGGGGAAUAUUGCACAAUGGGCGCAAGCCUGAUGCAGCCAUGCCGCGUGUGUGAAGAAGGCCUUCGGGUUGUAAAGCACUUUCAGCGAGGAGGAAGGCAGUCGUGUUAAUAGCACGAUUGAUUGACGUUACUCGCAGAAGAAGCACCGGCUAACUCCGUGCCAGCAGCCGCGGUAAUACGGAGGGUGCAAGCGUUAAUCGGAAUUACUGGGCGUAAAGCGCACGCAGGCGGUUUGUUAAGUCAGAUGUGAAAUCCCCGCGCUUAACGUGGGAACUGCAUUUGAAACUGGCAAGCUAGAGUCUUGUAGAGGGGGGUAGAAUUCCAGGUGUAGCGGUGAAAUGCGUAGAGAUCUGGAGGAAUACCGGUGGCGAAGGCGGCCCCCCUGGACAAAGACUGACGCUCAGGUGCGAAAG
rnacentral:rRNA from 1 species